GGAGGUUUCGUUGGGUGGGAAGAGGGGUUCAAAUGAUAUAGCUAUUGGAAAUUAGAGCAGUUUCAACUUUCGAGUGUGGAUUCAUCAUAUUCUACGGAAGGGUAUUUCUGUCAAUUACAUUGGUGAAAAUUAUCAUGCUAGUUGGCAGUUUCAGCUUCGUAGAGUGACCACUUCCAUUGAAAAAUUAUCAAGCCUUUGAUGAAUUCAACGACGCCCUUUGGGAUGGAGCAUCAACAUGGGGAAAACAUAAUGCAGUUUGACUUGAAAAGUGACACAACUUGCUUAUGAAUCUCAGAAUUCCACACCACCCCAUAAGCAAGCUUCAAAUUUUGAUAUUGACGAGGGGUCAGCACGAUUUAUUUGCUUUGAUCUAAAUGGGCUAGUUUGUGCGGGCUGUCUGGUUAAAGCCCAAAUAUAUAUAACUUUUUAAACAAAUUUGUUAUGUCUAAUUCAACUAAACUGAUAUAUGUAAUGCUUCUUAUUCUUAUUUGAAUUAAGAGGGAAAGUGAAGUACAUUUGGUAUGCUUAUUGUUCCAUCAUCUCUUGUUGACCAUGAUGUAACCUUGUGCAACUUGAAGUCAAGAAUCUGA